rnacentral:misc_RNA from 1 species
AAGUCGUAACAAGGUUUCCGUAGGUGAACCUGCGGAAGGAUCAUUCGUGUAAUACUGACAAUGGGGCUUCGGCCUUGGCAUCUACUUAUACUCACACUGUGAACAUUUAUAACCAACAUUGGUGACCAUGUAGGGUCGGCAGCAAUGCCGGCCAAAAGCUGGCUCCAGGGGCAAAGUUAACCAAACCAUAUCAUUAUAGCCUAAACAAACUACAAUUUUAUACAACCUUUAACAAUGGAUCUCUUGGCUCCU